rnacentral:rRNA from 1 species
GGUGGAGCGAUCUGUCUGGUUAAUUCCGAUAACGAACGAGACUCUCCCCUGCUAACUAGUCGGUUGGAUCUUGAUACGUGAGUCGUGAACCGUGGGUGCUCGGUGUAUUCGGUUCCUUCGGGUCGGCGUGGGCUUCGGCUCGCUGCUGCCUGGAGAGCCUGUGCGCAAGAGGCUUCGGAUCUCACACUCCAAGUCCGCUGCUAUGCUAUAACUCUUCUUAGAGGGAUCCACGGCUCUGAAGCCGUCAGAGACUGAGAGCAAUAACAGGUCUGUGAUGCCCUUAGAUGCUCUGGGCCGCACGCGCGCUACAAUGCCGGGCACAGCAGGUUCUUUUCCUGCUGCGAGAGCAGCGGGCAACCCUCUGAAAGCCCUCCAACAUAAUCGCACCUCGUGUGUGAGUGGCGUGCUUGGGCCUGGGGCUUGCAAUUAUUCCCCACAAACUAGGAAUGCCUAGUAGCGGUAGGUCACUGAGCCUGCCGUGACUCAGUCCCUGCCCUUUGUACACACCGCCCGUCGCUACUACCGAUUGGGUGUACCAGUGAGAGCCUUGGAUUGGCGGCCGUUGCCUUCGGGCAAGCGUGAUCCGACGAAAAGAGGUCCGAACUGGUGCACUUAGAGGAAGUAAAAGUCGUAACAAGGUUUCCGUAGGUGAACCUGCGGAAGGAUCAUUA